rnacentral:rRNA from 1 species
GAUGAACGCUGGCGGCGUGCCUAAUACAUGCAAGUCGAGCGAACAGACGAGGAGCUUGCUCCUCUGACGUUAGCGGCGGACGGGUGAGCAACACGUGGAUAACCUACCUAUAAGACUGGGAUAACUUCGGGAAACCGGAGCUAAUACCGGAUAAUAUAUUGAACCGCAUGGUUCAAUAGUGAAAGACGGUUUUGCUGUCACUUAUAGAUGGAUCCGCGCCGCAUUAGCUAGUUGGUAAGGUAACGGCUUACCAAGGCAAUGAUGCGUAGCCGACCUGAGAGGGUGAUCGGCCACACUGGAACUGAGACACGGUCCAGACUCCUACGGGAGGCAGCAGUAGGGAAUCUUCCGCAAUGGGCGAAAGCCUGACGGAGCAACGCCGCGUGAGUGAUGAAGGUCUUCGGAUCGUAAAACUCUGUUAUUAGGGAAGAACAAAUGUGUAAGUAACUAUGCACGUCUUGACGGUACCUAAUCAGAAAGCCACGGCUAACUACGUG